UAUAUGUGAAACUUCAGGUCCCCGCCAUUCAUAAUGGUUAAUACUAAGCAAAGGGCGUCCUUCGUUUCAUAUGUGUACGCUAAACUAACCUGAAACAGACAGAUAGCAAAGUUUAGCUGCUUUGCUGUCAAAGGAAGUUGCUGCCUGGGGCUCUAACUACCAGCACUGCAGAUGUCCUUUAAGAACACGGGUGCACAAAGAACCUAUAGCGACCUAAGAAAACGCACUGCCAGUCAGAUAUACAAGUCACAUGUGUCCAUGAACAAGGAGCAGUAUUGUAAGUUUUUCCUGACAUGAUAGAACUAGAGAGCCACAGGUUUGGGAACAAUGCUCUCUUGUCCCAAGCAAGCUGAAGACAAGUCGCUAAUACUGAGUGAGUAAAGUCAUAUAGUUACAGUUCAUACUGAUUGUUUUGACACCAAUAGAUGUAUCCAGAAGAUGUUUGACUGUCCCUUUCACUGCAGUAGAUGACCCAUCAAUGAUGUCCAGGUAUGAGUAGUUGUGUCUGACCACCAUCCCUUAACACACACAUACCAGCAACAGCA